rnacentral:rRNA from 1 species
GUCUACAGCCAUACUACUGUGAAUAUGCCUGGCCUUGUGAUCUCAGAAGCUAAGCAUGAUUGGGCCUGGUUACUACUUGGAUGGGAGAAAUGAGGUCCAUCCAUCUGUUUUUAUGGACACUGAAGUUU